UACGUAAGGGGCAAGCGUUAUCCGGAUUUACUGGGUGUAAAGGGAGCGUAGACGGAAUUGCAAGUCUGAUGUGAAAAUCCGGGGCCCAACCCCGGAACUGCAUUGGAAACUGUAUUUCUAGAGUGUCGGAGAGGCAAGUGGAAUUCCUGGUGUAGCGGUGAAAUGCGUAGAUAUCAGGAGGAACACCAGUGGCGAAGGCGGCUUGCUGGACGAUGACUGACGUUGAGGCUCGAAAGCGUGGGGAGCAAACAGG
rnacentral:rRNA from 1 species